UCCUGCUAUAUCAUACACGUGUGGACCUUGGAAAGGAGUGAGUGUGUCUAUGGACAUAACCUCAGAACGGUAAACGGUGGUGGCUCCUGGAUGAUAACAUACACCAUCGAUACCGGACUAGGAAGCAUCAAUCGGAAGCACAAUAGGGAUGGCGCUUGAAAGGACACAAUCACCUAAACGAACGACGAGCUGCUGGAAACUACGCAACAAAGUAGCCCGGAUAAAUCGAAGCAAUUUACACGGUUGAUGUAAUAAAAGUGAUUUUUCACCUUUCUUCCGGAAUUGCUUGUUGGCGGGAAACGGACGUGUAAUCGUGGUGAAGAAAUCAAAUCAGGCGAAAAUUUAUGUGAUUCGUUGCGGAUCGAAGAUAGCUGGGCAGAAGCAUGUGAUGUGUAAUGAGUGCGUUUCCGCAGAUCCGUCUUUGUAAGAGGAAAACCUAUAUCGUUUGAAGUACUUUUGAUAACCAUACGGAAUACCUAUUAUCGCCAUACCGGACGUCAUGAAAUUCAACGAUCCACCGAAAAUUGGAGGCCUCAUCGUAGGAGUAGAAUCGAUUAGAAAAACUCAACCACAAAAGCUAGCUAUGGACACCGGUGAAAAGAACAAAUUAGCAGCCACUUGUAUGGCAGCCAACCCUCUGCGUUUUCCGACCCGCCCGUUCCUGGACUUGGUCGACUUGGUCCGACAGGUUUAAUCUGAUAACUACCGAAUCACUGUGUAGCCGCGCCACGCGCCCGCGACUUGGAGCCUCCAGCAACGGGGAAAGGAGGAAUUUAUGUCCAACAUCUGGUUUCGAACACCUCGGAGGCACUUUCGUCCUCGGUGGUGUGUUAUCAUAUCAUAAUUGUGAUUUGUUUGAUGAUGGGGGGAGAGGCACACGCCGUACCUUACCUAUAGUAUACCGGGAUGGUUAACAAGUGAGUGAAAGCAGGAACAACAGCAACGUGGCUUGGCAAUAAUUAACGCCUUCAUUAGUCGGGAUGAUUACCGGUUGUUUUGGUGGGACGAGGAGAAAGUAUGUGGGAAAAUGUGCGGUGCCAUUAGCUCUCUCUUUCCAAGGCGCGGAAAUUUACAUAUCUACGGAUACUGGCGGGGGAAACUGCU